UACGAAGGGGGCUAGCGUUGUUCGGAAUUACUGGGCGUAAAGCGCACGUAGGCGGAUUGUUAAGUGAGGGGUGAAAUCCCAGGGCUCAACCCUGGAACUGCCUUUCAUACUGGCAAUCUCGAGUCCGAGAGAGGUGAGUGGAAUUCCGAGUGUAGAGGUGAAAUUCGUAGAUAUUCGGAGGAACACCAGUGGCGAAGGCGGCUCACUGGCUCGGUACUGACGCUGAGGAGCGAAAGCGUGGGGAGCGAACGGG
rnacentral:rRNA from 1 species